CGCGGGCCCACUGGCCUUAGCCUGGGCCCCCCCCAAAACUAUUUCCCGCAACUUUGAAGCUUCGGGUGAGGUGCGGGCCGGAUGAGGGAGUCGCCCCAGCCGGUUCAGCCCGGGAUGCCCAAUCCGCUGAGUGCUGCGGAGAAGGGCCAGCGCGUGGCGCCCCGGGGCUCUAGGAAAAUAUGGGAGAAAAAAGGGAACAUUUUGUAACCUGCCCCAACCCUCACAAACGAGCCAACACUCGGACACAUACCAUAAAGCACACACUCACUGAGCCAUCCCGCCCGGUCCGCAUGGCCCAGUGCUCCUCUGCAGUCCCCAGGCACACGAAGGCUUCAGUGUUACUAGGAAAAAGACAAAAGAAGACCCUAGCCGGUAUGUUUGCAGAUGGGAAAUUAGUAUCCUUUAAUCAAAAGCCUUGCACAGACCAUUCCCAAAGGUAAAGGUGAGCUGCAGCAAGACUGAGGCAAAUCCUGAAGACCA
ensembl:lncRNA